GUCUAUCAUGUCAUUAAUCGCUUCGUAAUUCGAUCAUUUCAAUUUCGUAGCUUGGAAAUUCUUCGAUUUUUAAUAAGCCAUUUACUACCACAGAUUACGUUCAGAUGACCAAAUUUAUGUAAAAUUUUUAUCCACAAUCUUCGGAACUUGUCGGGUUUUUCCGUUAGAUGUAAACGUGUAUUCAGAUGGCGCUGCGGAUAAUGGCGGCAAAUUUGAAUUUAGUUUUAGAUCUCAUUCAUUUUGUUUAUUCAAAAAUAAUUAAAUAAUGUAUCUGAGCAAUAUCAUUUUAUUACGAAAAUUAUAAAUACAAUUAAAACUCCAUAAUGACCUUUCUGACAUUUCUGACGUCAUUCGUUUUUGAGUAAUGACGUCAUUGUUAAUUUUUCAAAUAACUGACAUUACUGAUUAGUGUUUUAAGAUAGUAUUAACUGUUUCAAAACAAUGUAAACGCCAACGUCGCAUUUUCUCUCACAAUUAGUUGUUAUAAAUUGUUCAUGCACUUAAAUAAAAUUGCUUCUCCUAACUGACGGACCUAUCAACACACACUCUAAACGGCUAAGUAUAGAAACCUGAAAUUUUCACAAUAGGUAGCUUUUAUAACGUGGAGAUGUACUAAGAAAAAGGAUUUUUGCAAAAUCACCCUUUAAGAGAGUUAAAUGGGGUGUUGAAAUUUGAAUAAAAAUCCAUCAUUUUGGUUAUUUUUUAGUUCAUUUAAGUUAUAUUCUUGAAUAUUAGUAGGGGUUUCGGUUAAAAAAAAGAAAGACGUGUUUCAGGAUUUCCGAAAAAUCAACCCCUAAGAGGGUUACAUGGCGUAAUAAAAUUUGGAUAAAAAUCCGUAACUUUUGAAUUUACAUUAAUUAAAGAUGGUAUUUGGGCUUUCAGUGAAAAGUGAAGAAACACGUCUUUUAGUUGGAUAUAUUAACCUCAAGGGGGUUGAACAGGGGUUGUAAUUUGUAUAAAACUCCGUAAUUUCUAAUUUAUAGUCCGAGAGCAGGCAUCUCACUUAUUUAAGAAGUUGGGUCGGACUCGAUUGCACACGAUUGCUGAAAACUGGUUCUCAUGUAGAAUUUCCUGCUGAAUUCAAAUCUGUUGGUCGCUUUUUGAUUUGGAAAUGCGCUCAUUAUGAAAAAGAUGUUUUUCUGAAAAUUUUUGAAAAAGUAAAAUUGCGCAAAUUUUGUGUUUACAUUUUCAUAUUUUCCCUCUAAAUUAUCAAAAAUUCGUAUCAACUUCAUUAUCAGACAAUUUAUUUAAUAAAAAAAUAUCUAGGCAUUUAUUUCAAUCAAAAAUGACUCUUCGACCUACAUUUACUUAUAAAGAAACACUGCAAAUGUCAAGAAACUCUUCAAGUCUAAAUUUGCGGCUAAAAACAGUGAAAACAGUUUACACGUAAAACGUAUGCGCCAGCUCCCAGAGGGUCUAGAGCCAUAAUCAUAGAAUAAGAGCAGGGCUAUGAAAGUAAAGCGACGUUAUUGGUCGAUUGAAAAUAAAGCUCUCAGCCACCGCAAGGGAGCGCAUUGGUAGAAAUUAAUAGGCAGCACAAAUUGCACUGUUGUGUUACUGUGUUACCUAGACAGGCUUUGGCUGUGGGCUCUGAUGUCAAAGUCUGUAAUACCGACAGCACAAAUGUCAAACAAAACUAUCAAAUGGUCGAACGCCAUUUUUAACGGUUUUGUUUGUGGUUUUUUUACCUUGUUAUUCAACAAAAUGCUUACAGCAGUGCAUUUACUUUGGUUUUAGUUUUUACAACUAAUAAAGUACUCUUUGAAUUCGUGAGAGAAAAUUGAACGUGGGCAUGGGACUUUAACACUGUUGUUUGUUCGGUACAAGGGUGUACCAACAAUAAAAGGCCCAUAUUUCGUUUCCCACAUCCCAUCAGUAGAUACAGGCCGUCAAGAACCCUGGAUAAUGUAGAUUAGAUUGCCAGUUGGCUAUCCAAGGUGUCGGAGGACAACAGCAGCAAUUUGUUGCAAAAUGGGUGAUUAAUUUUGCUAAGAGAACUGGAUUUUCCACCUUUUGUUCAACGUGUGGACAGAUUCAACAUUUGAAAAAUAAAUGUUCCACCAGAUGCAACGACACAGAUCGUAUUUCUUAACCGUACAACAGUAAGCCUCAGUCAGUUAUAACAACAUAACAAUCCUCCAAUAAGUCGAGGCUUUCUUGUCGGUGUUUCAAUUAAACUAAACAGCGUCGAAUGACCGAAGACCGCUUUGCAAGAGCUAAAACCGGCAAGUAGCCAUCAGAUGUGAAAAAUAAUAACCUGUGUGUAAAUUUGCAUUAUAGAACAAUAAUCUUAAGAUGAACGUACCUAUGUCCAAUAAAAACUGUUAUUAAUAAAUUUUUACA